rnacentral:rRNA from 1 species
CUGACGGAGCAUACCGCGUGAGGGAAGACGGCCCAUGGGUUGUAAACCUCUUUUUUCAGGGAGGAAUAAAUGACGUGUACCUGAAGAAUAAGCAUCGGCUAACUCCGUGCCAGCAGCCGCGGUAAGACGGAGGAUGCAAGUGUUAUCCGGAAUCACUGGGCGUAAAGCGUCUGUAGGUGGUUAAACAAGUCAACUGUUAAAUCUUGAGGCUUAACUUCAAAAUCGCAGUCGAAACUAUUUGACUAGAGUAUAGUAGGGGUAAAGGGAAUUUCCAGUGGAGCGGUGAAAUGCGUAGAUAUUGGAAAGAACACCGAUGGCGAAGGCACUUUACUGGGCUAUUACUGACACUCAGAGACGAAAGCUAGGGUAGCAAAUGGGAUUAGAUACCCCAGUAGUCCUAGCCGUAAACAAUGGAUACUAGAUGUUGAACAGAUCGACCUGUGCAGUAUCAAAGCUAACGCGUUAAGUAUCCCGCCUGGGAAGUAUGCUCGCAAGGGUG